AACCCAUGGUGAAGGCAUCUUCUCAAUAAAUCUUUAUAACUCUCUCAUGCAUCAUAUGGAGUCUCUAAGUCAAUCUGCACGAAGAAAGAAAUAUCAUACCUAAACUU
rfam:Gossypium arboreum cultivar AKA8401 contig_85238_1, whole genome shotgun sequence.